GGGACACUGACAUGGGCUACACAUCCCCUAGGGUCACUGCAAACAUCAUUGUCCAGGGGGUCUGCUGACUCUGCCAGGCCUUGGUGUACAGUAUGUACAGAGCCAGAUCUACCUGCCCUGGUCACUCCCAGUCCUGUAAAAUGGGUCCUGUGGCCUGUGGGAAUGUUUCCAGGAUAGUCUGUGGAUGGAUAGAACAGGUAUUCACAAGUUCUCCAAUGAUGGCCAAGGCCCUGUGGACAGGAAAGUGGCUAUGCUGAGAGAUACACCAACACUGUGUCACAAAGGCCUGCAGUGUGCACAGAUUUGAAGCCAAGGAGCAGUGGACCAUAUUGCAUAGUCACAGUGUGCAGCAGACUUUGACGCCCAGGCUUCUCCCUGGCGUAUGUCAACCCGAGUCAUUACCUCCUGCCCCCAGGGUGUCCUGGGCUCUCCAGCUCAGGGCUCUGCAGUGUUGCCCCUUCCCUUUGCACUAGGAGCUCCUCAUUCACACUGUUUAUAGCCCUGCAGAGAUGCCGAGAAGAUCAUCCCCCACUCUUCACCUUUGCCCUAUUGGUUUCUAAAUAUUGUAUUUGUAAUUGUUUACUGCACUUCUUAACAUAUACUUGUUUGGUUUUAUUUGAGGGCUGGGACAUUGAAUCCAGGGCUUUCGUAACAAGCUAUAUCCGAGUCCUUUUUAAAUUUUUAUUUUAAGAUAGAGUCUCACUAAGUUGCCCAAAUUGGGCUUGAACUAGCAGUCCUCCCGCCCUCACCUUCCUGAGCACUGAGAUAAUAUUUAUACAGAUUUUCCAAGUGUGCAUUCCGACUACUGUAGGCCCCACUCCACACCCAUUGUAUCCACUGCCUGCC
rnacentral:lncRNA from 1 species